rnacentral:misc_RNA from 1 species
AAGUCGUAACAAGGUUUCCGUAGGUGAACCUGCGGAAGGAUCAUUAUAAAUUGGUAUUCACUACCGACUUACUAAUGUGCACCUGAUUGCUAGUUGCCGUGUGGUUGCAAGACCCGCGGCGGCUUACUACUUUGAUUACUUUGUGUAAACACUAGUGUCUUGAAAUCCGUCACUGGCCUAGCGCCUGCUGACACUAAGGGUAAAUGAAAACUUUUAGCAACGGAUCUCUAGGCUCUC